GAGAGCAGCAAGUUGGCUGUCCACGAUAUGGGAGGCCGAUGCAGGCGGUACUGCAUCUCACGAAUUGGAGCCCCGUCCACUCUCUUGGACAGCCGAGUCAUGGUCCUCGUUGACGGGCGUCGUCCUAGAUCUACUGCCGUCAUCGACGAUGUCUGGACCACCACCACCUCAAGCACCGUCGUCGCCGUCGAGGAACCUCAGCCGGAGCAUCAGCGUCAUCGGAGUUAGGAUAAGGUGAAGUACCUUGGAGUAGAAGGAGAGAUGACUCAUGUUCUCCGUGGGAUUUGUUUGUUAGUUGCUCGAUUAUUAUUUACUUGGAACACUUUUCUAGAAUUUUUCUCACACCGUAUGUUCUCAGAACAAUCUAUUCUACUUUUGUGAGUGUUGUAAUGAAACUGAACUAGUUGUUGAGAUUGGUAAUUUUGUUGAGUGAAAAAGAAAGAAUGAUAGGUAGUUAUGUUCUAUGUUGGGGGUAUGCUUCGUAGCCGAAGAUCCUAAAGAAAGAUAACACCUUCGGAAGAUUCUCUUAGGAGCAUGUGCCGAAGCUAUUACCUAUAGAGCUUCGGCACAAUGACAGAUCUCAAGACGAAGGAUCGAACCAACUUAAAGAUGGAUUGACUUAAAGACCCAUGAUGUUUUGUGUCAUUAUUGUAGUCGAUUGUAAAGGGCAUAAAUGUAAUUUUACAUAGGUUGCACCCUGUGCCUAUAAAUAGGUGAACAGUACCCCGACACGGUUCACGGAACUCUGUAAUCGCUGUCACAUUGCGCUGGAAUUAUUGUUUCCUGCCAAGACGAAGGUAUAAAUGUAUCUAACUACUAUGUUUUAAUAUUUAAGUUCAUAUAAUAAAAUGUUUGAAU
rnacentral:lncRNA from 7 species